rnacentral:rRNA from 1 species
UACGUAGGUGGCAAGCGUUUGUCCGGAUUUACUGGGCGUAAAGAGCGCGCAGGCGGUCGUUCAAGUCGCGUGUGAAAGCCCCCGGCUCAACUGGGGAGGGUCACGCGAUACUGAUCGACUCGAAGGCAGGAGAGGGUAGUGGAAUUCCCGGUGUAGUGGUAGAAAUGCGUAGAUAUCGGGAGGAACACCAGUGGCGAAAGCGGCUUCCUGGUCCAGCACCGACGUCAGGCACGAAAGCGUGGGGAGCAAACAGGG